AGUCAGAUAAUUGGAAUGUUCCCUUUGUAAGGUUGGGAAGAAGGACGAUAAAGUGGGUAGCUAGCUCCUUGCACCUCUGUGGAAGAGCUAAACUUCCUCUGUGAAGAGCUUCACCACAGGGCCCUUGGCACUGGGGACAGAGUGGCACAUUUAUACCAAGCACCCACUUCCACUUUCUUUCUAACACUUGAAAACUUUCACAGUACUUUUUCACUAAGGCUACUGUCAAGUCUGAAAAAUAAAGACAUUGUUUCACUUAGA
rnacentral:lncRNA from 1 species